CAUUGCGAGGAGCGAAGCGACGAAGCAAUCCCGCAGGGGCAGAUUCUACCUGACCUGGAUUGCUUCGCCACGCUCGCAACGACGGCUCAGGCGACGGCGCUCAAACCCC
rnacentral:ncRNA from 2 species